rnacentral:rRNA from 1 species
CAUUAAUGWAACCGGACCGUUUGGGUGCCGUAAAACGUAUCUGUUCGGAAAGGGAGAUAUCAUACACCCUGUGUUUAUUUACCUUUGUUGCUUUGGCGGGCCGUCUUUUUUAGGCGUCGGCCCCGGCUGACCGCGCCCGCCAGAGAACCCAAACUCUUCUAUCAGUGAUGUCUGASUACUAUAUAAUAGUUAAAACUUUCAACAACGGAUCUCUUGGUUCUGGCAUCGAUGAAGAACGCAGCGAAAUGCGAUAAGUAAUGUGAAUUGCAKAAUUCAGUGAAUCAUCGAAUCUUUGAACGCACAUUGCGCCCGCUGGUAUUCCGGCGGGCAUGCCUGUUCGAGCGUCAUUAUGACCAAUCAAGCUCUGCUUGGCCUUGGGGCCCGCUAUACCGGCGGCCCUUAAAAUCAGUGGCGGUGCCGUCUGGCUCUAAGCGGAGUAAUACUUCUCGCUACAGGGUCCAGUCGUCCACCCGCCAGAACCCCCAACUUUUUUAGGUUGACCUCGGAUCAGGUAGGGAUACCCGCUGAACUUAAGCAUAUCAAUAAGCGGAGGAAYC